UUCUUUCAAUCUCUCUUUCUCUUCUUUCUUUCUCGCGCUCUUUUUGUGGUUGAUUUUCUCUUAUCAUCUUCUUCGUCCAUAACGACGACGUCGUAGAAGUAUUGGACAAGUCACAAGCAAGAGAGUUGAAAAUCAAGAAGAGGAGAGGAAGAUCUAACAGACGAGGAGGCGGAGGAGGAGAUGCAAGCUUCAGGAGCAGAGGCGAACAGAGAUUUCACGGUGAUUUCAGAGCCGGCAGAAUGGGGAAGAAGCAGCACAGCAAGGAUAGGAUGUUCAUCGCACCCCCUUCAAGCAACUUCCUUUCUGUUACUGCGCGCUUUCAUUUACUCCGUUUGAAUAUCUGGUGUGCACAACUGAUGGGAGUAUAUGAUAAAUUGGUUUGAAAAUUUACUGCGUCUUGAGUAAAAUAUUAACGAAGUUAUUCAGACUAGGAUGAUGGAGCUUACAAGGGAGCCAGAAGCACCAGACAGGGCAGUGGCUCAAUGGCAUCUCUGGAAGAGCGUAGUGGCAGAAUGGUGUGCCGCACUUGAAGAGAAGAUUAGGAGAUCUCGAUGUCGGCAAUGGUGGAAUGAUGCGACAAAAGAGGGGAGCACACAGACAAGCUUUUGGUGGUUUGAAAUCACUCCCUCAAAGCAUCAGAAUGAGUUUCCAUCAAUGCCUCCUGUAAACUUAGCUUACUCUAUCCAAUCUGAUACAAUUGAAAAUGAAUCAUAUCAAAGCUCCCCAAAGUACCCUAGCAGACAAGUAUUAUUCUAUCAUUUCAUUUUUAGAUUUUGAUUAUAUUUUAUUAUACUUUUUUCUAUCCUCUUCUGUACUCUUGAUAUUUCUAUUUAUUUGGGUUUGAUGCCUGUAGUCAGCAGCCCUUAUUCUAUAACAUAUAGAGAAGAAAGAAUAAACAUUAGUAUGUUAUAUCCAUUUCAUUUUAACUAAUUGGAUCCAAUACUAAAAUAACACACCUUUAUGGAUUUGUACCCACCAUCACAUUGUUAGAAAUUCUUCAUUUGGUAUGUCAAUCCUCUCAUCACUAACACUUCACAUAUGCCAAUAUAAAUUUUCUUGAAAGAUGUUUUAAGUUCUUAAUUUAUUAGCUGGAAUAAAAAGGAUUUGUUUUUGGAAAUUCUGUAAG